rnacentral:rRNA from 1 species
GACAGAGGUGGCGAGCGUUGUUCGGAAUUACUGGGCUUAAAGGGCGAGUAGGCGGUGGAGCAAGUCUGAUGUGGAAUCCUAUGGCUUAACCAUAGAACUGCCUUAGAAACUGUUUCACUUGAGUCAGUGAGGGGAGGGCGGAAUUCCUGGUGUAGCGGUGAAAUGCGUAGAUAUCAGGAGGAAGGCCUGUGGCGAAGGCGGCCCUCUGGCACUGCACUGACGCUGAGGCGCGAAAGCGUGGGGAGCAAACAGG